GCUGGGUGUGGUGGUCCACACCUGUAAUCUCAGCUACUCAGGAAGCUGAGGUGGGAGGAUUGCUUGAACCCAGGAGGUUGAGGCUGCAGUGAGCUGUAAUCAUGCCACUGCACUCCAGCCUGGGUGACAGAGUGAGACCCUGUCUCAA
rfam:Homo sapiens chromosome 1, GRCh38 reference primary assembly.